rnacentral:rRNA from 1 species
AUGAACGCUGGCGGCGUGCCUAAUACCUGCAAGUCGAGCGAACAGACGAGGAACUUGCUCCUCUGACGUUAGCGGCGGACGGGUGAGUAACACGUGGAUAACCUACCUAUAAGACUGGGAUAACUUCGGGAAACCGGAGCUAAUACCGGAUAAUAUAUUGAACCGCAUGGUUCAAUAGUGAAAGACGGUUUUGCUGUCACUUAUAGAUGGAUCCGCGCCGCAUUAGCUAGUUGGUAAGGUAACGGCUUACCAAGGCGACGAUGCGUAGCCGACCUGAGAGGGUGAUCGGCCACACUGGAACUGAGACACGGUCCAGACUCCUACGGGAGGCAGCAGUAGGGAAUCUUCCGCAAAGGGCGAAAGCCUGACGGAGCAACGCCGCGUGAGUGAUGAAGGUCUUCGGAUCGUAAAACUCUGUUAUUAGGGAAGAACAAAUGUGUAAGUAACUAUGCACGUCUUGACGGUACCUAAUCAGAAAGCCACGGCUAACUACGUG